AUUGAACGCUGGCGGCAUGCUUUACACAUGCAAGUCGAACGGUAACAGGCCGCAAGGUGCUGACGAGUGGCGAACGGGUGAGUAAUGCAUCGGAACGUGCCCAGUUGUGGGGGAUAACGCAGCGAAAGCUGCGCUAAUACCGCAUACGAUCUAUGGAUGAAAGCGGGGGACCGUAAGGCCUCGCGCGAUUGGAGCGGCCGAUGUUAGAUUAGGUAGUUGGUGGGGUAAAGGCCCACCAAGCCAACGAUCUGUAGCUGGUCUGAGAGGACGACCAGCCACACUGGGACUGAGACACGGCCCAGACUCCUACGGGAGGCAGCAGUGGGGAAUUUUGGACAAUGGGCGCAAGCCUGAUCCAGCAAUGCCGCGUGCAGGAAGAAGGCCUUCGGGUUGUAAACUGCUUUUGUACGGAACGAAACGGUUCUCUCUAAUACAGGGGGCUAAUGACGGUACCGUAAGAAUAAGCACCGGCUAACUACGUGCCAGCAGCCGCCGCGGUAA
rnacentral:rRNA from 1 species